GGAGUAAUAAUACAGCGUAUCAGUCGGCAAGACGCAGGUGUUGAUGUCUCAGUCGACGUCCAGUUCGCCGGCAGUGACGCACCAGAAGAGGAACAGGUCGGCACGGUCCUCAUCGCGGCCGCACAGGGAUCAGCACUGGCUGUUGGCGGGGUAGCUAUCACUGACGUGGGAAUAGGGAACGUAACGGAAAAGGGAAACUCAAGUUUGUGUGACUCUUUCACCUGCGCCGAUCACGCCGUCUGCAUUGAGAUCGGUGACGGAGCCAAAUGUGUCUGCCAGCCGGGGUAUGAAGGCAACGGAACUAUUCGCU